rnacentral:tRNA from 2 species
UCCCCGAUAGCUCAGUUGGUAGAGCAACCGGCUGUUAACCGGUUUGUCGUAGGUUCGAGUCCUACUCGGGGAGCCA